AGAACGAACGCUGGCGGCAGGCCUCAAACAUGCAAGUCUAGGGGGCGUAGCAAUACGUCACCGGCGGACGGGUGCGUAACACGUGGGAAUGUACUUAUUGGUUCGGAACAACUCAGGGAAACUUGAGCUAAUACCGAAUGUGCCCGAAAGGGGAAAGAUUUAUCGCCAGUAAAUCAGCCCGCGUCCGAUUAGCUAGUUGGUGGGGUAAAGGCUCACCAAGGCAACGAUCGGUAGCUGUUCUGAGAGGAAGAUCAGCCACACUGGGACUGAGACACGGCCCAGACUCCUACGGGAGGCAGCAGUUGGGAAUCUUGGACAAUGGGGGAAACCCUGAUCCAGCCAUGCCGCGUGAGUGAUGAAGGCCUUCGGGUUGUAAACUCUUUCGACGGGGACGAUAAUGACGGUACCCGUAGAAGAAGCUCCGGCUAACUUCGUGCCAGCAGCCGC
rnacentral:rRNA from 1 species